rnacentral:lncRNA from 1 species
UUGGGAUUUGCUUUGAGGAUGUAUAUUUUAUGGGAAAAGGCAUGAUCAGCCUGGCUGCAGUACGGAAUGAUCUGGGAAAUUCUGGAGGACUCUGGCUAACUCCUGACAAGCCAACCCUGGAAGCAGGGUAUAGGGUAAGUCAGGGGCUUUGGAUGGGUUCAGUAUUUAGCUUGAAGCCUCACAUCUGGAGAGAAGGUUCAGGCUGCUGGGAACCUGAGCCUACGUUUUUGGCUACUGGAGGAAGAGGUGGUGAAUGUGGAAAGGACAGGAAAAAAGGUUUCUUGCUUGCUGUGAGCUUUGAGAAGCAGCAGCAGCAGCUCCCAUUUUGCCCCACUGUAGGGAGAAGAGGACUGAAGGGUGAACUCCUCCCAGAAGAGCCAGCAGAGGCUCUGUACUCCUUCCUUUCAAAGAAAGGGAUUCUGACUGGCUUUCUACCUCCUUUUGCUGCUGUUUUCCCUUCCAGUCUCUCCUGCUAG